rnacentral:rRNA from 1 species
CAACAGGGAUUGCCCUAGUAACGGCGAGUGAAGCGGCAACAGCUCAAAUUUGAAAUCUGGCUCUUUCAGAGUCCGAGUUGUAAUUUGCAGAGGGUGCUUUGGUGGUAGUUGCGGUCUAAGUUCUUUGGAACAGGACGUCACAGAGGGUGAGAAUCCCGUAUGUGGUCGCUACUUAUCACCGUGUAAAGCCCCUUCGACGAGUCGAGUUGUUUGGGAAUGCAGCUCUAAAUGGGAGGUAAAUUUCUUCUAAAGCUAAAUACUGGCCAGAGACCGAUAGCGCACAAGUAGAGUGAUCGAAAGAUGAAAAGCACUUUGGAAAGAGAGUCAAAUAGCACGUGAAAUUGUUGAAAGGGAAGCGCUUGCAGCCAGACUUGCCUGUAGUUGCUUACCUAGACUUUUGUCUGGGGUACUCUUCUGCAGGCAGGCCAGCAUCAGUUUGGGCGGUUGGAUAAAGGUCUCUGUCACGUACCUCCUUUCGGGGAGGCCUUAUAGGGGAGACGUCAUACAACCAGCCUGGACUGAGGUCCGCGCAUCUGCUAGGAUGCUGGCGUAAUGGCUGUAAGCGGCCCGUCUUGAAACACGGACCAAGGAGUCUAACAUCUAUGCGAGUGUUUGGGUGUCAAGCCCAUACGCGUAAUGAAAGUGAACGGAGGUGGGAACCUUAGGGUGCACCAUCGACCGAUCCUGAUGUCUUCGGAUGGAUUUGAGUAAGAGCAUGGCUGUUGGGACCCGAAAGAUGGUGAACUAUGCUUGAAUAGGGUGAAGCCAGAGGAAACUCUGGUGGAGGCUCGCAGCGGUUCUGACGUGCAAAUCGAUCGUCAAAUUUGGGCAUAGGGGCGAAAGACUAAUCGAACUAUCUAGUA